rnacentral:pre_miRNA from 1 species
CUUGUACUCCCUCCGUUCGGAAAUACUUGUCAUUGAAAUGGAUGUAUCUAGAUGUAUUUUAGUUCUAGACACAUCCAUUUUGAUGACAAGUAAUUCCGGGCGGAGGGAGUACUUG